rnacentral:rRNA from 1 species
GAACGCGAAGAACCUUACCAGGUCUUGACAUUGAUGGACAGAACUAGAGAUAGUUCCUCUUCUUCGGAAGCCAGAAAACAGGUGGUGCACGGUUGUCGUCAGCUCGUGUCGUGAGAUGUUGGGUUAAGUCCCGCAACGAGCGCAACCCCUAUCUUAUGUUGCCAGCACGUAAUGGUGGGAACUCAUGAGAGACUGCCGCAGACAAUGCGGAGGAAGGCGGGGAUGACGUCAAAUCAUCAUGCCCCUUAUGACCUGGGCUACACACGUACUACAAUGGGAGUUAAUAGACGGAAGCGAGAUCGCGAGAUGGAGCAAACCCGAGAAACACUCUCUCAGUUCGGAUCGUAGGCUGCAACUCGCCUACGUGAAGUCGGAAUCGCUAGUAAUCGCAGGUCAGCAUACUGCGGUGAAUACGUUCCCGGGUCUUGUACACACC